rfam:Salpingoeca sp. ATCC 50818 unplaced genomic scaffold supercont1.16, whole genome shotgun sequence.
GGCCGUGUGGCCCAAUUGGAUAAGGCGCCUGACUACGGAUCAGGAGAUUCGGGGUUCGAGUCCCUGCAUGGUCA